rnacentral:rRNA from 1 species
CCUACGGGGGGCAGCAGUGAGGAAUAUUGGUCAAUGGACGAGAGUCUGAACCAGCCAAGUAGCGUGAAGGAUGACUGCCCUAUGGGUUGUAAACUUCUUUUAUAUGGGAAUAAAAUGUUCCACGUGUGGGAUUUUGUAUGUACCAUAUGAAUAAGGAUCGGCUAAUUCCGUGCCAGCAGCCGCGGUAAUACGGAGGAUCCGAGCGUUAUCCGGAUUUAUUGGGUUUAAAGGGAGCGUAGGUGGAUUGUUAAGUCAGUUGUGAAAGUUUGCGGCUCAACCGUAAAAUUGCAGUUGAAACUGGCAGUCUUGAGUACGGGAGAGGUGGGCGGAAUUCGUGGUGUAGCGGUGAAAUGCUUAGAUAUCACGAAGAACUCCGAUUGCGAAGGCAGCUCGCUGGACUGCAACUGACACUGAGGCUCGAAAGAGUGGGUAUCAAACAGGAUUAGAUACCCGGGUAGUC